GCAGCUGGCAGCGUGACUCGCGGAGAGAGAGAGCUCCCCCGGUCGAAACGUACGCCUGGGUGCCCGGGACGUUUCGACCCGGCAGGCCCGCCACGCGUGGGCGGGCAGGCGGGCGGCGCAGGAACCCAGGCUGCUCACGCGGCGAAGCGAACCACCGGGGCAUACGUAUACGUACGCAGCUAGUAGCUCCCCGCUAGAGUGGCAGCGCACGGCUCCAGCGAGCCCCGGCCAACGGCGGGUCGACACGUCGUCGCUGCGCCGGGUCCCAUCCACGUGUAGGCGCCCCGAGCACCGGCUGGGUCCUAUAAACGGGGGGAGGUAGCUCGCCGGCCGGGUGAGUAGCCAACUUGGCCCUGUUCGUCCGCGGCCAUGCAGUGCAGGUCAGUGGACGGGAGCUGGGGUUUGGUUUCUUGCCGUUUCCUCGCCAACAAAUUCUGUCUGGUCUUUCUCUUUCCCCAUUUUGGAAACUUUGUAGAAUGUGUGUGUGUGUGUUCUCUUGCCAACAAGUUCAGGUUUCGUGCUCUGUUAAGUGUCCAACUUAGCUAGGCGUCGGCCUGAGAUCAGUGGGUGCGUGUGUUGAGAUUUGUGCUCUCUUUGUUGUCUUGGCCGUGUUCUCGCUAAUUCCGUGCGCGCGCGCGUGUGGUGCGGAGCGAGCUAGCGGCCGGGGUUUCGCUUGAUUCCCUCACGAAACGAGAAACAGAAGAAGAAUUAUGAGAUCUGUUCACGGACAACACUGAGCUACUGAAAUUUACCACGCCACGCUCCACGAUGCAGCGAUUAAUCAUACUUGGCUUAAUCAUACUUGCAUGAUUAGAGCUAGCGGGGUAUUUUGGCGCGAUGAACCUGUUUGGGCGAGGACGAGGGCGUGCAUGCGUUGCACUCGGCUUGCGCGCGAGGCUAAGAUCAAGGAACCAGGAUGGAGGCGCGCGCCCUCUCGGACUAGCUUUGAUCCGAGGAGGCGGCCGAGACUCGGCGUCGCGAGCGUGCCGCCAUUGCCGUGGGUGACCGAUGCUCUUAACAUUGAUGCGCGCUCCGUUCGUCCGCAGGCAGAUUGAUCAGGAAGAAGAAUCGCAAUGAAGACUUGCCGAAACGUGUUGUAAGCGCGGCACCAAGCUAGGUUCCUGAUGUCACAGGCUCAGUGGCAUUUGCUGGAAGGUCCACAAUUUUCAGAACUGAGGUUAGAUUUCUCCAUGCAUAUGCUUGUCCAUUACUUGGACAAUAUCCACAAGUAUAUACCUCUGCACACACAAGGCUGCGUCAUCUAUGCUUAAUUUAGUAAAUCUGCUAAUAGUUAAGUGCUCAUGAAUUAUCCUGAAACUACCAAGCCAACCACCACAAGUGGCCACCUGAAUUUAUUUUUGUUGACCUAUUAUCUACCAAUAUAUAGGAAACAUUCAGGCUCAUUGUCUUAAGAUGGGUAUUUUAUUGAGUGAUUUUCUUCGUUCUGCUUAAGAACAUAUAAUCAAAUGAGAACUCUUACACCUCAUCAAUGGAUACUUGCAGUAUCAGUUCAGGAGGAGAAAAACAUAUUUUUUGCUUGAGGAACGGAGAUUAAUUACGUUUAGUUGAGCACCCAGCUUGGGACUGCUGAAAGUAAUAUAAUUCUAAGUGUGUGCUACAUUUUUGGAGUAAUCUUAAGCUUAAUCGGGUGAAAUUAUGAGAGAAAGCACCGCAAUUUUUCAGCAACUUCUGUCAAUCACGACCCAGAAACUGGAAUCUCAUCAAUACAUAGCUUGACUACAGAAAAAGAAACGAAAGUUAACCUUCUUAGAUUCUGUAAUUCUCAGAGCAUCCUUUAGUAGUUUCUCCAGUUUCUCCAAACUACUGGCAUCUGAAUUGUCAGCAUUAUUAUCGAGAGACCUGCAGUUCAAUAAUAAUCAGCUAAAUGUCGAACACAAUAAAUGACGAACUGGGAAACAUUGUGAGAAGUCUCAAGGGCUACCAGGCAGCAAUCUCGCUAAGCCUUGACUGCAUAUUUGAAGGAUCUUCAUCCUAGUACAGAACAAAAGUAUCUUGUCAAAGAGGUAUAUGGGUAUAGAUGCUGUCAUACAAUUCGGCCAUGUAGGAUACGAAAUAGGUACUUACCACUACUACCUAGUCUUAGUACAUAGAUAGUUCGGUCAGAUAAAAGAGUAGCUACAUUUACAGAAUGUUACCCAUAUAGCAUCAAAUGUGCUGCAUUAGCUACACAAUUCUUGAUUACAGGCAUUAACAUCAUGCAUAGUGUGUUUCUAAUGCAACUAAAGGAUUAUAAACUGAGGAAUGCAACUGCAGUAUCAAAACCUUUCUGCUACACUCCUACAGGUUCCAUAAUUACACAGGCUGCAAGGUAUGCAUUGAUAAAAAGUGAUGUAAAUUGUUUUACGUUGCUGACAGUUGCAUCUUCUUGAAUCAAGUUCCUUCCGGGCACCGCAAAUUGCUGAUACCGGUCAUAUGUACCUUCAAUGCUGGAAACAAAACUUUGGCAUUAGAGAUUAUUGUAAAUUAAAAUUUGAAAAAUCACUAUACUUUCAAGUUUAAGGAUUUGCCGGCAUUUUCCAAAAAAAAUAAAAAAGAGGAAAACCCGAAAAGUAGAGCUCGUGUAUUUUUUUCUUAUAGUUUGGUUAUG